GGUGCUUCCCUUACCCGCAGGGCUACUAUGAGGUCUCAGUGCCCCUGCUGCUGGCUUCUGGGCCUCUGGCCUGGGGAGGGUGGGUGGCAGUGAAGCUGAUGUUUCUGCCUUCAGGAUUUCAGACCACUCUGCUCAUCCUGGAGGAUUUUCUGGCCUGCUCAGCCACUUUGGAGCCCCUGCUGUAUGAUCCACAGAGCCUUAUGAAGGGUGGUGGGUCUUGGCUGCCUGCCUGAAGGAGGAACUCCAGCCUUGGGUUGCCUCGGGUCACAGAGUUUUGGCUGUCUGGACCUGUCAGGGCCUCUCCAACUGCUCAACAUUGCCGCUUUUCUUGGCAGCUCAGUGCCGGGUACCAGCAGGAGCAUUCUGGUACAGCAGCUAUAAUUUUGAUGAUCCAUGCAGGCGUUGUUAACUGCUUUCACAUUUGAGAAUCAGAGAAGUUCUGAGACCUACCUAAUUGGAUCUGGAGGAGCAGUCCCAUCUUCUUGGAAAGCUGCCCCUAGCCAGGGUCUGCAGGGGCACUCCAAGGCCCAGUUGGCGUGUGGGAGUCUCCAGCAAUGGACACUGGAUUACUGGGGUGGAUAGCAGGACUUCCUCCCAUGCCCAG
ensembl:lncRNA